rnacentral:rRNA from 1 species
GACGAACGCUGGCGGCGUGCUUAACACAUGCAAGUCGAACGGAAAGGCCCUGCUUUUGUGGGGUGCUCGAGUGGCGAACGGGUGAGUAACACGUGAGUAACCUGCCCUUGACUUUGGGAUAACUUCAGGAAACUGGGGCUAAUACCGGAUAGGAGCUCCUGCUGCAUGGUGGGGGUUGGAAAGAUUCGGCGGUUGGGGAUGGACUCGCGGCUUAUCAGCUUGUUGGUGGGGUAGUGGCUUACCAAGGCUUUGACGGGUAGCCGGCCUGAGAGGGUGACCGGCCACAUUGGGACUGAGAUACGGCCCAGACUCCUACGGGAGGCAGUAGUGGGGAAUAUUGCACAAUGGGCGGAAGCCUGAUGCAGCAACGCCGCGUGCGGGAUGACGGCCUUCGAGUUGUAAACCGCUUUCGCCUGUGACGAAGCGUGAGUGACGGUAAUGGGUAAAGAAGCACCGGCUAACUACGUG